CCCCUAAGGCGAGGCAGAAAUGCGUAGUCGAUGGGGAAACAGGUCAAUAUUCCUGUACCGAUUCUAGAUGCGAUGUGGGGACGGAGAAGGUUAGGUCAGCCAUCUGUUGGAAUAGGUGGUUUAAGCGUGUAGGCGUGCCCCUUAGGCAAAUCCGGGGGGCUUAGCUGAGGCGUGACGACGAGGCACUACGGUGCUGAAGUGAUUAAUACCAAGCUUCCAGGAAAAGCCACUAAGCUUCAGUCUAGAGUCGACCGUACCGCAAACCGACACAGGUGGGCAGGAUGAAAAUUCUAAGGCGCUUGAGAGAACUCAGGAGAAGGAACUCGGCAAAUUGACACCGUAACUUCGGGAGAAGGUGUGCCCCGGUAGGUUGUAGAGCCUCGCGCUCGAAGGCCGAUGGGGUUGCAGUGAAAUGGUGGCUGCGACUGUUUAAUAAAAACACAAGCACUCUGCAAACACGAAAGUGGACGUAUAGGUGUGACGCCUGCCGGUGCUGGAAG
rnacentral:rRNA from 1 species